CCUACGGGAGGCAGCAGUGAGGAAUAUUGGUCAAUGGGCUUACGCCUGAACCAGCCAAGUCGCGUGAGGGAAGACUGCCCUAUGGGUUGUAAACCUCUUUUGUCAGGGAGCAAGUGGCGCUACGUGUAGCGUUAUCGAGAGUACCUGAAGAAAAAGCAGCGGGUAACUCCGUGCCAGCAGCCGCGGUAAUACGGAGGAUGCGAGCGUUAUCCGGAUUUAUUGGGUUGAAAGGGUGCGUAGGCGGAAUGCCAAGUCAGCGGUAAAAUCGCGGGGCUCAACCUCGCUCCGCCGUUGAAACUGGCGUUCUUGAGUGGGCGAGAAGUAUGCGGUAUGCGUGGUGUAGCGGU
rnacentral:rRNA from 1 species